GAUCCUACGGGGCGCAGCAGUGAGGAAUAUUGGUCAAUGGGCGGUAGCCUGAACCAGCCAAGUAGCGUGAAGGAUGAAGGUUCUAUGGAUUGUAAACUUCUUUUAUAAAGGAAUAAAGUGAGUCACGUGUGCCUUUUUGUAUGUACUUUAUGAAUAAGGAUCGGCUAACUCCGUGCCAGCAGCCGCGGUAAUACGGAGGAUCCGAGCGUUAUCCUGAUUUAUUGGGUUUAAAGGGAGCGUAGAUGUGUUGUUCAGUCAGGU
rnacentral:rRNA from 1 species